CUCCACAUCACUGAGGAGGAUCCUUCAGAACGAGGAGUCAGGUAGAGAGGUGUGUGUCUCUGGAGAUGAGGCCUUUAUCAAACUGCAUCUGGAUGUCAUCCAGUGCAUCAAUGCUGUUCUCCAGAAAGCAAAGAUGAUGAGCCAAACUCUGAUGCGCAAAGUCCAAAUAGUCUGUUGGCAAGAGCUACAGGACUUUGUGGAAAGGUAUGUCAAUGUUGAAAAGAAGCACCUUCAGAAACAAGCAGGAAUGGGAACGUCAGGUACAAUGCACUUCUUUAAGACGUUCAACACCUGCAUUGAACUCAAGUUGUAUAUUUCAAGGAUUGCCAAAGAUGACACAAGCUUAGACUGUGUUAAAACCAUAUCAACACUUAAGGGGUUGGAAGCUCUUUCUUGGAAAAACCAAUUCAACUUGCACAGGUUAACCCCCCCUAUAGAAAUACUAUAGCAAGACAAGCCUAUCUGUUCAAAAUCCAC